rnacentral:rRNA from 1 species
GGCGACCGGCGCACGGGUGAGUAACGCGUAUGCAACUUACCUAUCAGAGGGGGAUAGCCCGGCGAAAGUCGGAUUAAUACUCCAUAAAACAGGGGUUCCGCAUGGGACUAUUUGUUAAAGAUUCAUCGCUGAUAGAUAGGCAUGCGUUCCAUUAGGCAGUUGGCGGGGUAACGGCCCACCAAACCGACGAUGGAUAGGGGUUCUGAGAGGAAGGUCCCCCACAUUGGUACUGAGACACGGACCAAACUCC